AAAAAACUGACGAGAGGCUGGAAAUGGGACCAAGAAAAAAAAAAAAAGGAGAAAAGUACUCACAUCUACAUCAUAAAUGUGCUGUGAUGACACGUACAUUAUUUCAUGUGAUGCUACUGCCAAUUACAUGCAGGGUGCCUACAGCUGUGGCAAAAUGAUCUCUCUCCACUCAGCGGUCGCUUCACCAUUGAAGCAGAAGGACUCCCUGUCAUCACCUGACUAGUGAUAUCACAUCUCAACGCACUGCAACCUGGGUAAACCAGAGACCUGAUAAGCAUGCCACAUAUUACAAGACUGCAAAAGUAGAAGAAAAGAUGCACUUGAUGAACCUUGGAGGCGCCCCUGCAUACAUCACAUGUGUACCUGCUGAUUUUCUCUAAUAAAAAAACAUUGAAUUGGACCAGUGAGUGCGACAGUGUAUUUUUUCUUCU